rnacentral:rRNA from 1 species
AGUUUGAUCAUGGCUCAGAAUUGAACGCUGGCGGCAUGCCUUACACAUGCAAGUCGAACGGUAACGGGCCUUCGGGUGCCGACGAGUGGCGAACGGGUGAGUAAUGCAUCGGAACGUACCUUUCAGUGGGGAUAACGUAGCGAAAGUUACGCUAAUACCGCAUAUUCUGUGAGCAGGAAAGCAGGGGAUCGCAAGACCUUGCGCUGAUUGAGCGGCCGAUGUCAGAUUAGCUAGUUGGUGAGGUAAAGGCUCACCAAGGCGACGAUCUGUAGCGGGUCUGAGAGGAUGAUCCGCCACACUGGAACUGAGACACGGUCCAGACUCCUACGGGAGGCAGCAGUGGGGAAUUUUGGACAAUGGGGGCAACCCUGAUCCAGCCAUGCCGCGUGAGUGAAGAAGGCCUUCGGGUUGUAAAGCUCUUUCGGCCGGGAAGAAAUCGCAUGGGUUAAUACCCUGUGCGGAUGACGGUACCGGCAUAAGAAGCACCGGCUAACUACGUG